rnacentral:rRNA from 1 species
GGUGACCUCGGAUCAGGUAGGAAUACCCGC